rnacentral:rRNA from 1 species
GAUGAACGCUGGCGGCGUGCCUAAUACAUGCAAGUCGAGCGAACGGACGAGAAGCUUGCUUUUCUGAUGUUAGCGGCGGACGGGUGAGUAACACGUGGAUAACCUACCUAUAAGACUGGGAUAACUUCGGGAAACCGGAGCUAAUAACGGAUAAUAUUUUGAACCGCAUGGUUCAAAAGUGAAAGACGGUCUUGCUGUCACUUAUAGCUGGAUCCGCGCUGCAUUAGCUAGUUGGUAAGGUAACGGCCUACCAAGGCAACGAUGCAUAGCCGACCUGAGAGGAUGAUCAGCCACACUGGAACUGAGACACGGUCCAGACUCCUACGGGAGGCAGCAGUGGGGAAUAUUCCACAAUGGGCGAAAGCCUGAUGGAGCAACGCCGCGUGAGUGAUGAAGGUCUUCGGGUCGUAAAGCUCUGUUAUUGGGGAAGAAAAUAUGUAGAAGUAAAUGUGGACGUCUUGACGGUACCUAAUCAGAAAGCCACGGCUAACUACGUG